rnacentral:lncRNA from 1 species
GUGCUUUGGGAGAGACAGAGUGUUGAGAGACAGAAGGGGUGGGAACAUCAUGUUGAAGUGAAGUUCAGACCACAUGAAAAAGCCACACAUAGGUGUUCCAUCCAACAGCCAACAUCAGCUGGUGUACAUAUUGUUUCUCUUAGAUCGUGUUUCCUGAGAAGCAAAUUUUGAAAUGGUUUUGAGUGAUGGAUAUUUACUUAAGAGUGCUCCUGGGAAUAACAUCUAUAAAAUCCUGGUGGAGGCAGAGAGGAGGAGACUUUGGACUGCGAGGGAGUUAAUAUACAAGUUUCCACUGAUCCUGUGAGACUGGAAUGGCCCCUCAAAUUUGUCUCAAUUUGAGGCAACUUGGUCAGGCAUUAGUAUCCUACAAUUGAUAGGUUAUUGGGUGCCCAGAGAGAGAGAGAGUGAGAGCAAGAAUGAGAGUGAGAGUGAACAUGAGAUAACGAGAGAUGUAGAUAUACCUCAGGAUAUAAAAUUUAUUCAUUUUUGGUGUGAAGUGUAAGAUUUGCAUCUAGAGUCUUUAUUUUGCAUAAGGACAUCCCAUUGUUCCAUCACCAUUUGUUGAAAAGGUAUCUGUCCUCUGAAUUACCACUAUACUUUGUCAAAAAUCAGUUGACUAUAUUUGUGUGGGCCCAUUUUUGGAUGCUAUAUUUUAUCUUUGAAGAUAAUCUUUCCAAAUUUCAGG